rnacentral:rRNA from 1 species
CACGCCGUAAACGAUGAAUACUAGGUGUAGGGGGUAUCGACUCCCCCUGUGCCGGAGUUAACACAAUAAGUAUUCCACCUGGGGAGUACGGCCGCAAGGUUGAAACUCAAAGGAAUUGACGGGGGCCCGCACAAGCAGUGGAGUAUGUGGUUUAAUUCGAAGCAACGCGAAGAACCUUACCUGGGCUUGACAUCUGCCGAAUCCCGUAGAAAUACGGGAGUGCCUUCGGGAGCGGCAAGACAGGUGG